rnacentral:rRNA from 1 species
CCCUUAGAUGUCCUGGGCAGCACGCGUGCUACAAUGAUGCAUUCAACGAGUCUUGCCUUAACCGAAAGGUUCGGGUAAACUUUUGAAAUUGCAUCUUGUCGGGGCUUGAUCAUUGUAAUUUUUGAUCACAAACAAGGAAUUCCUUGUAAAUGUGAGUCAUCAACUUGCAUUGAAUACGUCCCUGCCCUUUGUACACACCGCCCGUCGCUUCUACCGAUGAAUGAUCCAGUGAACACUCUGGACUUGUUGUCUGUCGGAGCAAUCCAAAGACGAUAGGGAAGUUGUGUAAACCUUAUCAUUUAGAGGAAGAAGAAGUCGUAACA